GGAAUGUUCCCAGGAAAAGGCAGUUGGAAGCUAACUCCCCCAGUUGAACUGAAGGACUCUCUCUUGGCUUAUGAGAGAGGAGAGAAGGAGAGACUUGCUUUUGGGCCAGUAAGGAGAGGACUAAUCCUGUGGAAGAGGAUAGAAGAGGAUAAUGCAGAUGAAGAGGAAAAUACAGGAAUUAAUGGACAUUGAUAAAAGACUGAAAAUUUAUAAAUUUAAAAGACUUUAUCAAAUUGCAAUGAAGAAGAUUAUAGGAUAAAUGGACUAAUGAAUUAAUACUUUGGGGUAGUGUAUUAUAGUACAAAUAACAGCAUUUAUUCACAUACAAAUGCAAACAUAUUUACUACUAUGGAAUUUCAGAAGAAUAUUCAAGAGGAGGUGAGAAGAGAAAGAUCUGAAAUAGGGGUAAGUAUGUUGCAUACAACAGUAACAUAACUCUUACAUAACAGUACCACUGACAUUAAAAUAGCAAAACAACAUGACAUAGCAAAAGUAAAACAUAACAAAACAAACACAAAACAUAAACAUGGUUAGGUUACAUUGAAUUACUACUUAAAUGAGUGAAACAAUGUAUAGUUAGGGUACAAACAGUGUAAUGAUUAGCUAUAGAUAUUUAGUUACUAACAAAAUGUAGUUACAUACUUAGAUUUAGUUUAGAUAUAGAAAUAAAAUAUAGUUAGGCUGAAAUAUUUUGAAGAUAGGGAUUAGUUAGGUAGGUAUAAGUAAGAUAAGAUAAGAAAAUCAGAUAUUGACUUGCACUACAUCAUACAUUACACAACAAAAGCAACAUGUGACAUCACAUAUCUAUAGAGACCCAGAUGUGAGUCCUAUAACAUCUAUUUGUGGGAAUAACCUGAUGUGGAAAGAAGAGGCUAAAGAAAUGGGCAAAUAAUAAUGACUCAAAGACAGAAGUAGACACACAUGCGGAGUAAUGCGAACUCCAAGGAAAUAGGAGUAAGAAGAGGACAAAUGGGGAGUAACAACCCCUUGAUACACCUAUAGACAAUAGAGUCUGAACAACAGUGGGAAGCUUUGGGGUUGACUGAGGUGCUAGAAAAGUGAGGGGAGUCACCACUCCCUAGGGCCAAGGCACUGGGGUGACAGGGUCGCUAAGAAAGUUGGGAGUCAACUGCUUGGUGCCUACUAUCUCAAUAGGAGGCACUGGGGUAGCUAGGAAAGAGAUACAGAGAAGCAAGAGUGGUAAGAGGAAAGGAGGAUAAGGGAGAGAGGAGAGAGAGGCGUGAAGGCCUGGUCAGAGAGAGCUGGUAAGAGAGAGCAAGAGAGGAGUUACUAAGGAAUUUCUCAGGAGAAUGCAAGAGAGAUUUUCACGCUUGUCCCCUGGUAUUUAUUGAAGGUAUUAGGAAUGUAUAUGUAACAUGACAUUGGUAUUUCCAUUGGUCAAAUUGACAAUGAUGAUAUCAAAAAGGUGGAGAUUAAUCCAUUCUGUGCUUUUGUAAAUAAAGUCCCAGCCUGGAUGCCCUGUUUCAAACCGUGCUAUGUUAAUGACCUUGUUCCAAGCAGAGGCAGCAUGGCUGUCUCCACGCCCAGCCCAAGAAUUUUCCCGUCCUUUGCUAGUGCCUAGGUCUGUCCCUUUAACAUCAAGAGUUCUGACCAUGUGUCUGGCAAUACAAUAUCAAUACUGUAACAAUACAACAAUCAUGCUUCCCAAAUGCAAAUAUGCCUGGUAUGUUACAAUAUCAAACAAAAUUGUAAAUAAAUAUAUUUUACAUAUAUUUACAUAUAUUUUACAAUAUAUGUAAAUAGGGUGUAUAAUGGGAUUGUAAUUAAUUGUAUUAUAGUGUAUGUAUAUAUGUAAAAUAUGUAUAAAUAUGAAGUGUACAUAAGUAUAUAUAUGUGCAUAUGCAUAACAUGCAUGUAUAUAUUGCAUGUGUAUACUAUAUGUAUAUAUAUAUAUAAAUUAUGUACGUAGCUCAUGUGUAUUUAUUGGUACAUGUAUUUGCAUAAAUGAGUUUAAUGUCUGGUUUGAUUGUUAGUGUAAAACUUAUGCAAUGUGUUUAUUGUAAUUUUCAAAAAUUUUCUCUAAGUUUAAUGUCAAUGUACUAUAAUAGCAGUACAAUUUUCUGCAUUUGCUGAUUAGAGUAUUUUAAGUUUGAUGUUUGCAUGAGUUAUGUUCAUCUUUUGUUUGAUGUUAUUUGCUGUUUUGAUUUUGCUUUUGUUUGACAUUUGUACUUGUUCAUUAUUUAAUUCCUUUUCCUUUUUCCUCAUAAAAAUUCCCUAGAAUAGGUUAGUAUUAGUUAGAGUGAGACAGUUUAGUGUAGGUUGUUUGUUAUUUUGGGUAGAUUUCUUAGUUUAGGUAAUCGUUAAGUAUUUUAGAUUGUGUAUAAAUACAAAAAUAGUGUUUCCAACAUGAUUUUUGAUUCAUGCAGAAGGGGAGAAUGUGAUGAAGAAUGAACAGUUUGCAAAAAACUGAGAGGUGCAAAUGUCAGAGUGAGUGACUGACUGGAGCAUUUAACUAAGAGUCACAUAGUAGCCUAAGGCUGGAGAUCUGGGAUAAGAUUCGAUGCCCAACAGACAGACUUCUCUCCUGAAGGACCUUGUUUGAAGGUUUGGAGAAAACCUGGUUUCUGCUUUCUCCUGAGACCUGCUAAAGAGGAAAGAAAGCUUUGAAAUUGACUGUUGGCAGUAUCAGUAAAGAUCUCUAGAUCUGUUUGGAUACAAAUCAAAUAAGAUUCUGGCCCAUUUGAUUUCACUCUUUGUGUGAGAUUUGGCUAUUGGGAAAAUUUACUGUUUGGUUUAGAAAGAUAGUUUUAAAUAGUUUAUAGACAUUAGGUUUUAAGAUAACUAGUAUAAUUUUCUCCUAAAACCCCUGUUCCUUCCUUUCCUUUCCAUACCAAUAAAUCUGAAUUAUUUAUAA